rnacentral:rRNA from 1 species
UACGUAGGGUGCAAGCGUUAAUCGGAAUUACUGGGCGUAAAGCGUGCGCAGGCGGUCUUGUAAGACAGAGGUGAAAUCCCCGGGCUCAACCUGGGAACUGCCUUUGUGACUGCAAGGCUUGAGUGCGGCAGAGGGGGAUGGAAUUCCGCGUGUAGCAGUGAAGUGCGUAGAUAUGCGGAGGAACACCGAUGGCGAAGGCAAUCCCCUGGGCCUGCACUGACGCUCAUGCACGAAAGCGUGGGGAGCAAACAGG